AAUAUUUCACAAUGGAGGGAACUCUGAUGCAGCAACGCCGCGUGAGUGAAGAAGGUUUUCGGAUCGUCCCACUCUGUCAUUGGGGAAGAAUAAAUGACGGUACCCAAUGAGGAAGCCCCGGCUAACUACGUGCCAGCAGCCGCGGUAGUACGUAGGGGGCGAGCGUUGUCCGGAAUUACUGGGCGUAAAGGGUACGUAGGCGGCUAUAUAAGUCAGGUGUGAAAUACCAGUGCUUAACACUGGAAUUGCAUUUGAAACUGUGUAGCUUGAGUGCAGGAGAGGAAAGUGGAAUUCCUAGUGUAGCGGUGGAAUGCGUAGAUAUUAGGAGGAACACCGGUGGCGAAAGCGGCUUACUGGAACAUAACUGACGCUGAGGCUCGAAAGCGUGGGGAGCAAACA
rnacentral:rRNA from 1 species